CCUCUUUAUUCCUUCUGGCCCUCAGGAUCAUUUCCUGGAGUGAGUCAGGGACUGAGACGUGCAAGAUAAUGAACUGGGUAUUUCUUCCUACACCUUUAGACAUAUAUGCAGGCAGAACACUGUAUAUAAUAAAUAAAAACAUGAAGAAGGAGGAAGGAAGGAGGAGGAAGAAGGAAGAAGAAGGAAGAAGAAGAAGAAGAAAGAACAACUCCCUUCUGUUACCACCAGGAACACACUCCACUCCUGGGCAACUGUCAAAUGGGAAUCAAGGACCUAUGGUGAACCUUGGGCAAUUAUGGACAGACGGAUGGAGCCAGCCCGGGCCACAGAAGAACCUAAAGCAGACACAGCACAGCUGACUCCUUCACCCUCCUCUAGACCUCAUGGAAGCAUGGAGUGCACAGUGCCUGUACGAUGGGUUACUAUUUUGUAAUUCCCAUCUUUGCUUCAUUACCUCAUGUCUGCUGCUUUGACCAUAAACACAGACCAAAUGCCAAGACACAGACUACUGUCACCAGGAAACCCAACUGCUUGUACCAGACUCACCUUUAGGCUUUUGGACUGUUUGCUGUGUUGACUUAAAGAUGGCAGGGGACAAAAACAACACAUGGCACUGUGCUCAUGGAUUCCUCUUUGGUGAGGUCUUAAAACCCAGGGAACAGGGGCCUGGAGAGAUGGCUCAGAGGUUAAAAGCACUGACUGCUCUACCAGAGAUCCUGAGUUCAAUUCCCAACAACCACACGGUGGCUCACAACCAUCUAUAAUGAGAUCUGGUGCCCUCUCCCGGCCCACAGGCAAACAUGCAGGCAGAACAUUGUAUACAUAAUAUAUAAAAUCUUAAAAAAAAAAAAAAAACAGGAACCCAGGGCCAACCUGUCUCCCUUAUUACAGCUAACUGGCAUGAUCAUCCACUCCCAAUCCCACCCCCA
rnacentral:lncRNA from 1 species